UUUUUUUUUUUUUUUGAAUUUGCUUGGCAGUAUUGUUUUCCAUAAGUUGCUAUCAAGAUUUGGAUGCCCAAUGAAGCCUAUAGCUGAAAUUAAUAAUAUAAUGAUCAUGUUAGAUUCUUGUGCAUGUCACUUGGUUUCAGUUUGUGAAAAUGGAAGAUCCAAAAUUGUCAGACUAGGUAUGAAUUUUAAAUGGAACUUCCCAACCAAUCCACAAAGACUCCUAGGCCAAGAUGUAAAGAAAAUGAAUUCUUGUGAGCCUUUGAGUAUGGAAGCAAUAUAGGGUAAAUUUCAGUUGGUAGAACAGAAUGCCAGCAUGUAUAAAAAUAAUAGUAAAAAAAAGGCAUGCUGACACUGGUUUUAAUCCCCAAGUACAAAUAUCACACUCCUGUGUUAAUGAGAAGUUUAGUUUGGAGCUUGACUAUGCUUUAGUAGUUACCAUUGAGUUCUCUUUUGAUGCCUCUUUAAGUUAGAGAACUCUAGAAAUAUUUUCUUUAGAAGCAAGGGCAUUUUCAUAAUCUCCAGCUUUACUAUUGAAACUUUAAUUUUAUUUAGAGUCUUGUUUUUGAGUCCCUGUUGGCUUAUCAAAAAAUUAAUCAAGUUAGUUUUUUAAGGUUAAAGGUUUAAGAUUAAUCUAAGUCUCAAAAUACUUUGCCUGUAAUCUUUUAUUGGCAUUGAAUCAAUCAAUAAAAUUAGAGAGAACUUCUAAAAUUGUGUUUAUUUGGAUUCAACUAUUAAAUGUGAUGCCUGUGAAACCCUGGGUGUGAUGCCUAAGAAAUUCUCCUUUUUUUUCUCUAGUUAACGAUGAGUAAAGAAUUCUCUUGUUUAUUUGUGAUCCCUAACCAUCUAACUUCACCAACACGAGUUGCCACAUAAAUACCCACAUUUCUAGCUCUCAAAUUAAGCCAAAAACCAGUCCUAAACUGUAAUUUUGCAAGCUGUCCUACAUCAUCAGUACAAUUAAUCAUAGAACCAAAGGUAAAAUGAAUCAUAAUUGCUUAAUGAUUUAGUCUUGCACGUGUCUAAGGAUAGUUAAUUUGGGCUGUUGACAUUGAUAAGUAUCCUAGAAUGGUCUAUGCAUAUUUCCUGAAAUAUGAAAUGUAGUCUUUCGCAUUUUCAAACACUCCAAAACUUUGAGAAGACCAAGUUAAAAACUAAUAAUGGUGUAUUAUUGCCAAGGCAGGUUUGAUAAUUUCCAUAUAAACCAAAAUUAUGGUAUCAUGGCACUAAGACACUGCAUUGCUGCAAAGCACGCCCCUACAUAACAUAUAAAUGGCUCUCUUCUAAAGAGUGAAGUGCUUGCUCUCUAAUGCGGAGUUGUCCAUGUAUUUUUUAUGCCAAAGCACACUGUGUGGUCCAUUUAUGUCCAUCAAAUGUGAUGAAAUGCUAGACAACUUAGGAUUUGUUAUUGGGCUACCUUGUUGAUUACUCUGGCUUGAGAGCAUUUGUUUAAUUGUAUACAUUCCAGUUAAUAAAAUUGGGGUAACAUACAAUAUCUCCAUGAUGCUGUUCGCCUUGAUAUUUCAAAGAAGAUGAUAGCAUCAUUAAUUUUAGCAGCUCUAAGACAGUUUGGCAACUAAAAAUUUGCUGAAAGUGGUGUGUCAACAUCACCUUAAAAGAAAGCACAUGCGGCUAAAUAUCUACUAGAAAGAGAAAUACAUAAGUUCACAAAUAAUGAAAGAGAAAAUAAGAAGGAAGAACAAUUUGGACAUGGACUAUAACAAAUCGAGUUAAGCAAAAAUCAAGUAUUUCUAAUAAAAUAUUAUAAUAAUUGCAAGUAGCAUUAUUACCAUACCUUUGCGAGGGGGGAAGAAGCG
rnacentral:misc_RNA from 1 species